UACGUAGGGUGCAAGCGUUGUCCGGAAUUAUUGGGCGUAAAGAGCUCGUAGGCGGUCUGUCGCGUCGGCUGUGAAAACCCGAGGCUCAACCUCGGGCCUGCAGUCGAUACGGGCAAACUAGAGUACUGCAGGGGAGACUGGAAUUCCUGGUGUAGCGGUGAAAUGCGCAGAUAUCAGGAGGAACACCGGUGGCGAAGGCGGCUACCUGGACCGGUUCUGACGCUGAUGCGCGAAAGCGUGGGUAGCAAACAGG
rnacentral:rRNA from 1 species